GUCUCCGUAGCACAGUUGGUAGAUUGCGUCGGGUUGUUACCCCGAAGGUGGUAGGUUCGAGCCCUACCGGGGACG
rnacentral:tRNA from 1 species